UACGUAGGGUGCAAGCGUUUGUCCGGAAUUAUUGGGCGUAAAGAGCUCGUAGGCGGUCUGUCGCGUCGGCUGUGAAAUCCCGAGGCUCAACCUCGGGUCUGCAGUCGAUACGGGCAAACUUGAGUGUUGCAGGGGAGACUGGAAUUCCUGGUGUAGCGGUGAAAUGCGCAGAUAUCAGGAGGAACACCGGUGGCGAAGGCGGGUCUCUGGGCAACAACUGACGCUGAGGAGCGAAAGCGUGGGGGAGCGAACAGG
rnacentral:rRNA from 1 species